GAUUCCAUUAAGUAAUUGCGAAUGAACAAGGAAAUGCUCAGCUUGAAAAAUGGGGCCUUUGGCUUUGAAUUGUAAUUUUGAAAUGUAUUGCCAAUGGAGGCGCAGGUGCAAGCCUAUUGAAAGAAAGCGUCAAUGAGGGUGAAAUUCCUUUUUGUCAUUUGCAGUCCUCCGUGCACGGUAUAUAUUUGACGAGUCACACUCCUCGGCAUUGGAAUGCAAAGUGGGUGGUAAAUUCCAUGUAAAGGUAAAUAUAUUAUUGAGACUGAUAGCAAACAAGUACCAUGAGGGAAAUAUGAAAAGGACUUUGAAAAGGGAAUUAAAAGAGUCUGCAUUUGCUGAACAGAAAGCAAACAGAAUUGAUGUGCUUGGUGAGAUUGUUGUGCCCACUCUGUCAUUUAUGUCGGAUGUGGGUGCGAUGGUUCUUACCUUGAAUGUCAGCUUCUAUUUCUGCAAAUCAUUACCCUUGCACAUGAAUGGUAAUUUGCCUGCGGGUAUUGGAAUGUGUGUGUUUGCAAUGAUUUGUGAUUUGAUGCAUGUGGUUGGUGGACUUUGUAUGUGCUGUUUUGCCAACGGGGAAGGGACUCUUCCUUGAGCACUGCAAGCCCUUGCACAUUAAUGCUGGCAAAAUGUUUCUGCUUGACCCGUCUUGAAACACGGACCAAGGAGUCUAACAGAUGUGCAAGUGCGUGGGUGGCAAACCUACUAACACAAUGAAAGUAUUGGCUGGGAUAUUUGCACCAGCAGCCGACUGAUUAGCAGACAGAGGUUUGAGUUUGAGCAUAUCUAUUAGGACCCGAAAGAUGGUGAACUAUGCCUGAACAGAAUGAAUUCAGAGGAAACUCUGAUGGAGGUUCGUAUCGAUACUGACGUGCAAAUCGUUCGUCAUACUUGGGUAUAGGGGCGAAAGACUAAUCGAACCAUCUAGUAGCUGGUUCCCUCCGAAGUUUCCCUCAGGAUAGCUGGAGUUGCACAGUUUUAUCAGGUAAAGCGAAUGAUUAGAGGAAUUGGGGACACGCUGUCCUUGACCUAUUCUCAAACUUUAAAUGGGUAAGAUGCAAUGGUUGCUUUAUUGAACUUUUGGAAUAAAUGGCAAUAUCAGGUGGGCCAUUUUUGGUAAGCAGAACUGGCGAUGAGGGAUGAACCUAACGUUGGGUUAAGGUGCUUAAUUGCUUGCUCAUUAGAUACCAGAAAGGGUGUUGGUUCAUUUUAACAGCAGGACGGUGGUCAUGGAAGUCGAAAUCCGCUAAGGAGUGUGUAACAACUCACCUGCCGAAUGGACUAGCCCCGAAAAUGGAUGGCGCUCAAGCGGGUGACCGAUACCCAACCACUGUUGGAAAUAGUAUCAGUGUGUAGGAGGGCAUGGCGGUUUGUGAUGCAGCCU
rnacentral:rRNA from 1 species